rnacentral:sRNA from 1 species
GCCCGAAGUCAUUACCUCAACCGCAAGGAGGGGGAUGCCUAAGGCAGGGCUAGUGACUGGGGUGAAGUCGUAACAAGGUAGCCGUACCGGAAGGUGUGGCUGGAUCACCUCCUUAAAGGGAGACCUAAUUCAGGUAGGCGACGAAAAAAAAGUAGUCCCUACCAAGAAUCAAUCCCAAAAGGUCGGAGCGAGGCAAGAUUGGCUUUCAAACUAGGUUCUGGGUUCACACAAGACCUGAAUCAGGAACAAGGGCUAUUAGCUCAGGUGGUUAGAGCGCACCCCUGAUAAGGGUGAGGUCCCUGGUUCGAGUCCAGGAUGGCCCACCUGCACAGGUGGCCA